AAAAUCUGAAGACAUCAACUUGCAGAAUCCAACAGAUAUGUCCUAUGUUUUCAGUGGGGCCUACACACCUAUUUCAUGUAAACUUGUAGAGCAGGUUUUGACUAAGGAAGGUUUUACAGGUAUGGAGGAGAUCCUGAAACAUUUACCUGGAGGCACCUUCGCUGAUGUCAAAGUCAAACAGACCAAAGGUAAAGGAGGUACCACUAGUGCUACUUCUCCAUCACAACGCGUUGUCCUCGUCUACUUCCUCGGAGGAUGUACCUACUCCGAGAUCACUGCUCUCCGCUUCCUGGGGCGACUUAAAGGGUACCGAUUCCUGGUCGCUACCACAGCCUUGAUUAAUGGCAGUACAUGGCUGAACUCCCUGGUGGAGAAGUGAACAACACACCAUUUGAUUUAAAUGCAAACCAGUCAUGACAGUGACUGAUGGGUAACGUUAACGCAAACAAUUCAUUGGUAGUAGGAGGUCACGAAAGGUCACUUGUCCCAUGAACCUUGCACAAGUUGUGACUGCAACCAAUGAAUGUCAAAUUUGAAACUUGGACAAUCGAUCAAUUGCAGUAUAAACAUUGUUUGCCGUGUUAACGGUAUAUCAUACCCAAGGGAGUUUAGUCUGGCGUGUCUGAUCACACAAGUGUCGUGCUUGAAAUCAGUCAUGUUAAUGAUUGUUGAUGGUAUAAAUAGUUCAAAGGGAUGCAAUGCAGUAAUUAAGCAAAGAUAAAACGCAAAAAUGACCAAAAAUUGUUACAAUGGUGAUGAGGUUGUAUACCUUUGUGUAUUUACGACAUUUAGUCACAUAAAACGGGAGCAAACCAUGUAUUCAGAUCGAAGAUAAUAAUGAAAUUUUACGGACAGGCUAAAUUAGGCAGACUUAGUUACGACUGAAAAUGUUCUGACAUUCCUUAAGCUUUCAGUCCUACAGAUUAGAGCAGAGAAAGUUGUGGAUGGGGGUCCAUUGUGAUUGGUCAAUCAUCAAUUUAAGCAAGAAUUGGUUCAGACUGCUUGAAAUGAGAUUGAUGACUCCAUAUAAAGUUAUAUAGAUCAAAACCUGUUAAGCCUUAUGUUUGCAAGUUAACGAAUUCUUAUGUUUGGGGUAAUUUUGAAAAUAGACUGAAACAAUUUUUUAAUUGUUCAAAAGGGACAUUUGUAUACACUAAAACACUUUGUUUAUUUUACAUAUAUAUAAAAGUCGUUUUGAAAGUUGAGCUGUUGACACACCAAGUAAUUACUCAGAUUGAACCUUGGAGGCCUCGUUACAGUAACCCUCUGUUAUCUGGUUAUGUUUUAACCUGCUGUUUGAAUGCGGUGAUUACUCAAUAUGGGUCAUGCUUGUCCAACAUUGACAUAAUACUUCCACAUCCGGUUACGACAGGAGGCAGGCCAGAAAGGGACAGUCCUUUACUUAUAACGUGCACAUUCCUUACUGGUGUGCUCGUGGGGCUAAAAUUGAUCGAAGGGCCAGAAAUAUGAUGCAAAAUCCAGUCAGUGUGACUGAUGGGUCCACACUUGUAUGUAAAUACAGACAGAUUGUUGGACAAACAAAAGAUAUAUUAUCAUGUUCUAAAGUGAGAGAGUACACCAACUCAUGGAUGCUUUCUAUCAUUCGUGUUUGAAAUUAUUCGAUAAACUCUGCUCAGAAGCGCCACAUAUUCUGAACCAAACGUUGAAAUCGUGGAUUACUUGGUUGACUUGUUUUCGUAAGGUUAAGGGUUUUUUAUGUUAAAAAAAUUAUGAACAAAUUAGAUGUGGGAUUUUUGGUUUAUUUGUGUUAGACUAGUGUAUAAGAGUUAUUUAAAAUCGUAUCCAAAGGUACUCUUUGUGGCAAACUUUAAAAAGAAGCAAUACCAAACUAACUUUCCGAAAAAUAUAUGGCUGAACAGCAGUCGCAAGCAUGCUCACCGGAGCCAAGCAUGCUCACCGGAGCUGCUGAAAUUUGACGAACAGUGCUACAAUUAAAGGACUUCUACUUUACCACAAUGCCUGAACCUUUUUUGUACACAGUAAACGUAUGUAUGUGGUGUUGUCGAAUUUUAAAUGCAACAUUUUUUUACUGAUUUCCCUGAAAAUAUAUUAAGUAUUACCUAUUUAUUGGUAUUAAAACCUAACAUAUCAAAAUGUUCCACGGCUUUUCACAAACUUCUCAGCAAUGUCACGAGGACAACUAAUCACUAUUGUUAAGUGGUCUACAUGUACAGGAUAUGAACACUUCGUCGUGCAUUGAUCCUCAGUUACAGCGUUCCAAAUAAUUGUGAUAUUUUUGUUAUCAUUAACAUUUUAUUGUUUUGUGUUUCAAAUACAUUGUUGUUUUGUCACCCAUUGUUAUAUGACGAUUGUUACCAGUAUGGCUUAGAUUUCUGAGGAAGUUACAUUGUUGCUAUACUCGCUACCUGAAAGUUAUUCUUUGUCAUUCUGAUCGAGACCAUUUAAGGCGUUUAAGUAAAUUUUGAACUCCACGAAAUAACACUAAAAUUUGACCCUGCAAAAUGAAAUCGCUCUGUAUACUAAGCGUUGUCGUAAGGACACAACACAGCUGUCAUCACCACUUGUAUUGGCAUCGUAUUUAUAACAGUGACUGACCUUCAGUAGAUGUUAGUAUAUUUGUUCACAGAAACAUAUUUGGGCAUAUUCGAUUCUUGGAAAACGUAAAAACAUAAAUAAAUAAAUGAUCGUAAUAAUCUUUAAAAAAAUUUUUUUUUUUUUUUAUUUAUUUUACACAUUUUCCUAAUUUAGAUAUGUACUGUAUCUCUGAUAAUGAGAAGCAUGUGAGGUCACACUUAUUGGAUUACUAGUAUAUAUACUACAUGUUGUAUACUAUUUCCGAGUUUUAUGGGUGUCUGAAGUUCCUCACGAUACACGCUGAGUUUGUGUUCAUCAUUUAUUGUUGUUGAUAUGGUACUGCUACGUUGUAUGUAGUUGUUUUCCUGUUUCGUCGAUGUCAAACUAAUAGAACCCAGGGUUCGUUUUUGUGUUUUGAAGAACAGGUUUGCGUAAUAAUUGAUGAUUUUCAGUAAUAUUCGCUGGUUUAUAUUGUAGAUAAUACCACAUCCUGGCUCCUCCUAAUCGUCGUAUAGUGGUUAUCGUGUUAUGUUUCCAUGCAGAAACAUAUCUUAAUCCUGUUCUUUUCGUUUGCAAUAUUUUAUACAUUUUUUUUUUAAAUUAUUAAACAACACACGCGAAGCAUUUGCAGUGAACUUGUUUUGUUUAUUUCCGAUGUCUUACGUGAGACAGGUCUAACCGAGGCUGAUCAGUAUGUGAUAGUCACCAGAGAUAUGGAUUUGAUGAACAAUUGUAUACUUAAAAUAAUAAAGAUUUGUUUCAUU
rnacentral:misc_RNA from 1 species